rnacentral:rRNA from 1 species
GACGAACGCUGGCGGCGUGCUUAACACAUGCAAGUCGAACGGUAAGGCCCUUCGGGGUACACGAGUGGCGAACGGGUGAGUAACACGUGGGUGAUCUGCCCUGCACUUCGGGAUAAGCCUGGGAAACUGGGUCUAAUACCGGAUAGGACUCCGGACUGCAUGGUCUGGGGUGGAAAGCUUUUGCGGUGUGGGAUGGGCCCGCGGCCUAUCAGCUUGUUGGUGGGGUAAUGGCCUACCAAGGCGACGACGGGUAGCCGGCCUGAGAGGGUGACCGGCCACACUGGGACUGAGGUACGGCCCAGACUCUUACGGGAGGCAGCAGUGGGGAAUAUUGCACAAUGGGCGCAAGCCUGAUGCAGCGACGCCGCGUGAGGGAUGACGGCCUUCGGGUUGUAAACCUCUUUCAGCACCGACGAAGCGCAAGUGACGGUAGGUGCAGAAGAAGGACCGGCCAACUACGUGCCAGCAGCCGCCGUAA